AUCGCAAGAUGAUGGUGUGGCUGGAUUUGCUGAAGCCGACGCUCAAACAGCUCAGACGACCUAAAAACACCAUCCUUCGCUUCGUGGUGAAGUUCUUUCCUCCCGACCACACGCAGCUCUUGGAGGAGCUGACUCGGUAAGGAACUUCUGGGAUUGAAAAGUUGUGGAGUUGUUUUGGUCUUCCGUCCUUCCCGAGUGUUUCUCAGUCCUUCAGGAGGAGUUCCACAGCUGUGUUUAAGCAAAGGGCCUUUUUUACUAACUCUUGUUUUGUCACCCGAAUGAACCCAAACACAUCUGGAAACCAGGACUCUUGAUGUUAUAGCAGACCAGCUGAAAGGAGAUACAGGCUUUUUUCACUGUAAAAAGACUUCUGUUGCUUCGGACAUGUUUGAACUUCAUAUCAAUCUCCGACAUCCGGCUGAAUUUGAAGGAACAUAAUUAGCAUUUAUAGAUUGUCUUAUAAGGGGAAAAAGUGUUUCUCCAUUUGCGUCCUUUUCAACUCCUCGUACAGAAAGUAUAAUCAGCAUUCUUUAAAAGCAAUAUCAUUCAAUUUCAUAUCAUAUAACACUUUCUCGGGUCUGUUUUUAUUUACGAAUUAAGAUUUUCAAUAACACAAAUAAUGCUAAAAACGAUUUAAUCAUCAUGUUUCUUUUCUAGUAUUUCCCAGCAGUGUAUAUCAAUCAUCCCUAAUUCUAUUAUUACACUAAACCGAUGCUUCCUGAAGUAUUUAAACUGGUUAUCGAGGCUUUGAUUUGACUUCAUCUCCUUUUUUAAAUGUCCACUUUGCAGCAGCUGUGUUAUGUUACUGCAGGAAAUGCAAUGCAUGCCUCCAAGAGGGCAGAGCAGACGUCUUUGAAUACUUUCCGCUGACGUUGUUGGCAUUUCAGCCGGCCACUUUAUUCCACUGAUCUCAUAUCGAGUGUUAAACAGGAAGUGGGCACUCUCCUUUGUUUGACUCCUACAGCAUUGCACUGUGUUCUCUUUAAAGGGCACAGACGGACACAAUGUGUAGAUGGACAGAUUGAUUUGAAGAUGCAUUGGCCUGUUGUCAACAAUAGGACUCGUCGCUCUGAUAUAAUGGAUGAAAGGUCUGAUGUAGAUGAACAAGAAAGGAAAUUCAGAUGAUUUUUGUUGUAUUUCACUCUCUUCUAAUUGUAUUUGCUUUAAUAAGCGUGGUGCAUUUCACUCUGCAGUGUUCUGAAAUAGUCAAAAUGA